CUUACAAGGCCGACUCUGCUCAGGCCCCGCGGACCGCCGGGUAUCCGCUCAGCGCAGGGCGCGGCCGACCCGCGGGUCGUGGGAACCGCUGGGCAGGGGGCGGCGGGGCCCCUCACCUGGCUCUGGGGCCCCCCGGGGACGACCGGACCCCGAUCUCUCCGCCCCGCAGGACGCGCGUUGACGGUCGCCCGUAUGCAGCGCCACCAUCCCGGCCGCUCUUCCAAUCUCGCCUUUCUCCGGGCACCUGCCGCCCCUCCCCCGCUCCCCAGACAGGCUUUGCGGAGGGGGCUCAUUCCGCCCGGGGCUGCCCGGCCCUCCGCAGGAGUUGGCUCCCCACAAGGUUCCGGGGCCGAGAUGACAGGGCGGUUCUGUGGUGCUGGGUGCUGGGACUUGAGGGGCAUAGGGGCACCUGCCCUGGAGGAGGCCGAGGCGCAGCCCCCCAGGAGGAAGGGGUGCCUCUGGUGACUUUCAGCUGGACUCUUCCAGCUGGACUCUAGUGCAGCUGAGCUCCUCCCCCAGCCCCGGCUCUGUCCCUGCACCAGGUGUCCAGCAGGCCCUGGAAUCCGCAAAGGCAGAAGGGGAAGUUGGGGUGCUGGGUGCUGGGCAGGGGGUGCUGAGGCCUCACAGCCCGGCGGCUUGGCCCCCACCCACCCCACGGUGGUCCCGCGCCCCACACUUCCUCUCCUCUCCUGUGGUUUCUCCUUCCACUCAGUGCUGCCCAGAGAUGGGCUUCUGUCUAGUUCUCCUGAGAAAUUCCACACUCGCAGCUGGGAAGUCGGGGGACCCCCGAAGCUGUGCGGCGGCCACGCUGCGGCUCCUGCUUCCCUCCUGCUCGGGUGCGGGCUCGGCUGCCUUCUCGUCCCGCGGAGCCCGGAGUGCCUCCCCCUCGGGUAGAUCCUACUAACAGCAUCAAAGAAAUAAUGAAAUAAUCUCUCCUUGGUGUGUUCUUACCGUCCUAAUAGGCACAAGGGGACUCUUCAGUGCAUUUUCCAAAACCUGUACAAACUCUCUUGACAUAAAUGCAGUGAGUUUACAAUAAAAUCGCAGUGGGAGGUAACGUCAGGCUUCAGAGGCAGACAUGGUCCUGGAGCCUUUGGGAGGAGAGGAGAGGAGAGGCAGCGGGCGCGGGGCGGCGUCCAGGGGGCUGAGCGAGGUCUGGGCAGGAGGACAGAGCUGAGCCUUGGGCUGCCCUGGCCCCUGCGCAGGACACACAGUGACCGGGGCUGGGGUGGGCACCCCGGUUCUACCGUCGGGAGUCGGCGUGUUCAUGGAGUCUGUUUCCUUGUCUGUGGGUGAAACUUUGGCUUGGGGUCACGGGUGUGUUAUUUCCCAGCGACAGUCGGUUCAGUCAGCACUUACAAAAUCACCAGAAACAGGGGCACAGGAUCUUGCUCAGCAGGGAGAGGUGGAUCCUGAUUCGGGACUCCAGGCUCUUCACCUGGCCAUGGCUGCCCGUCCGGUGGCCCUUCCUGGCCCCCAGCUCUUGCUCCACUGCCAGACCUGGACAGCCUCCAUUAACCCUGCAAUUACUGAAAACCGACUCACAGCCAAUGAUGUGAUCCACGCCAAGUGUCCCGUUAUAAGAUGUUUCCUGGGGAUCCUUAGAAAAUCACUACAAAUGGGUUGAACAACAGGGCUUUCCUCUUACGGCUUAGGAGGCCAGAAGUCCGAGAUCAAGGCCUGUGCGCUCCGGAGGUUCCCACCUCUUCCAGCUUCUGUGGCUCCAGGCGGUCCUGGGUGGUGGCCGCAUGGCUCCACCUCUGCCCCUGUCCUCACGGGGCCUCCUCCCCCGAGUUAGUGUGUCUGUCUCUUCCUUUGCUUAUCGGGACACCUGUCACUGGAUUUAAGGGCCGCCAGGAGAAGCUGGGAUAAUCUCAAGAUCUUUAAUCGAAUUACAUCUACAAAGAUCCUAUUUUAACGUAAGGUCUUACUCUGAGGUUCCGGGUCAAUGUGACUUUCUUGGGUGGGGGUCACUACCACCCCAGCACCAAUGCUUUUCCCAGCUCCACCUGUGUUACCGUGUCAGUGACCAGGAGCGUUCCCCGGGACACCUGCCUGCUUGUAGCUGUUUCCACGGCUUCCUGCACAGGUUCUGCGUCCGCAGUUGGGAGCACCAGGCCAGGCAGCUGUCACAUAGGAGGAGGACAGCUCUCCGGGACAAGCCCCUGCUGCCUGGCACCCGCGCCCACCCCUGCCUGGGUUUGGGGUUGGGUUUUGUGGGUAGAGGUUCAGGCUGACAGUGGAGGUUGGGAAGAGCAGACACAGCAUGGUGGGUAGCACUGGAAGCCCUGGGUGGAAGGGAUGGUGGGAGAUGCUGGGCCAUCUGGGUCUGCAGUGGGAGACCAGGACAGGAGCCCAGGUCCAUUGGGAGGCCCCAUGCUGAAGACAGAGGCACGGGGAGCGGGGGGAGCAAUGGACUCACGCGGACAGCAGCAGACAUGAAAAGGCCUCCGAGGCCAAGUGUGAGGAUGCCGGGUCCCAGCACUGAGGUGUCCUGCAGCUGGACCUGUCAGGUGUCCACCCACCCCUGGCAGCUGAAUGUCCUUUGACGGCCUAUAGGCUGAGCAGCUUCUUUGGGCCCCGUAGGGGUGUGUCCCACAGCAGGUGAGCAGUCAGGGCCCCUUGAGAACCCUAACCAGCUCCUGUGUGGGCCCUGGGCUGGGGACAAGCUACAGCCUAGGUGCAUGAGGUCAGAGGGGGUGGUCAGUGAAGUAACGACGUGCCUGCCUGGGUGUGGGGCCUGGGAAGCCUCAUGGGGGUGUUGAAGCAGCUCCCAUGGGUCCUUGGCAGCUUAGGGAAAAUGUCUGCCGGGAUGUGUGUGUGCACCUGUGUGUGAGAGUGUGAGAGUGUGCACAUGCAUGCGUGUGUUUGUGCAUUCCUAUGUGUGAAUGUGCACCUGUAUGUGUGAGUAUGCAUGCCGGUGUAUGUAUGUUGGUAUGUGUUCAGCUGUGUAUGUUCAGCUGUGUGUGUGUCUAUUUGUGUGUCUCUGUGUGUAUGAGUGUGUCUGCGUGUGCCUGUGUCUCUGUGUGUGCAUGUGUGUUUGCACCUGUAUGUCCACGUGCCUGUGUCUGUGUGUUUGCAUGUGUGUGCAUGUGUCUGUGUGCCUGCGUGUGCCUGUGUGUGCAUGGGCCUGUGUGUCUUUGUGUGCAUGUGUGUGUGUUUGCACCUGUGUGUGUGCACGUGCCUGUGUGUGUUUGGGCUGUGAUUGCAUCUGGUUAUUCUGGGGGUGGAAUUGCUGUGGAACAUGGAAUUAAAGUGCAGGUUCCGGGUCUUGCUGCCAGGGAGCGACUCUGGCCCCCCUAUCACACACCUGUGACCCAGAGAACGGCAGGUGAGCCUUGCGGCUUCACUGUUGCCACAGGUCAGGGGCUGAUGAGGAGGGGAAGCCAAAUGGGGGGUGUUCAGCCCUAGGCUGAGCUGCUUGGAGCACAUUCUUAAUACGCCAGCCAUCGCUACCUCAGUUCCACAGCCGAUGUUAGGGAAGAAAGAUGCGGGGACACGGCAACAGGACAGCGUGCUGGGAAGAAAAGAUGUGGACAGGAGCCCAUGCCUGGCAGAGACACGGAGGACCAGAGAGAGGAUGGCGUUGCAGAGCGGAGGGCCGCAGAGAAGGGAGGAACUUGUGUCUGCAGUGGAGAGGACACACCCCUCUGGCAAGGGCAGCCCUGGGUGUGGCUUUCAGAGGCAGUGGGCAAUGAGCUCUGUAAAGCCGAGAUGGCUCCAAGCAGACCACAAGGAGCCUGGUCAGCUUCUGUCCCUGUAACUGUUUUCCCCACUGCCAGAAGUGGCUUCACUUGUUGUGUGGAUGCCCUGCACUCAGCCCAGGACUAGAUGGAUUCACAGCCAGAUUCUACCAAACAUAUGAAGAACUAAUACCAAUCCUUCUGAAACUAUUCCAAGAAAUCGAAGAGGGGGGAUAUCUCUCUAACUCAUUCUAUGAGGCCAGUAUCACCCUCGGACCAAAACCAGACAAAGGCGCAACAAAAAAAGAAAACUCCAGAUCAAUAUCCCUGUGAAUAUAGAUGCAAAAAUCCUCAACGAAAUACCAGAAAAUAGAACCCAACAGCACAUCAAAAGGAUAAUACACCCUGAUCAGGUGGGAUUUAUCCCAGGGACGCAAAUCAAUAAAUGUGACGUAUCACAUGAACAGAAUUAAGGAUAAAAACCAUAUGAUCAUUAAAUAGAUGCAGAAAAAGCAUUUGAUUAAAUUCAGCCUCUCUUCAUGAUAAAAAUUCUCAACAAAUGAGGCAUAGAAGGAACAUGCAUCAACAUAAUAAAAGCCUCAUAUGACAGAUCCACAGCCAACAUCAGAAUUAAGGGGGAAAAGUUGAAAGUAUUCCUUCUAAGAACUGGUAUAAGACAUGGAUGCCCACUUUCACCACUCUUAUUCAACACAGUACUGAAAGUCCUGGCCAGAGCAAUCAGGCAAGAGAAAGAAAUAAAGGGAAUGCACAUUGGAGAAGAAGGAGCCCAAACUAUCCCUUUCUGUUGGUGAAAUUAUAUUCUACAUAGAAAACCCUGAAGACUUGUAUCACUGCUGGUAAAGACAUGCCUGAGACUGGGUAAUUUAUAAACAAAAUGAGGUUUCAUGGACUUACAGUUCCACACGGCUGGGGAGGCCUCCCAGUCAUGGUGGACGGCAAAAGGCAGAUCAUACACGGCAGCAGGCAAGAGAGAGGGUGAAAGCCAAGUGAAAGGGGUUUCCCCUUAUAAAACCAUCAGGUCUCAUGAGACUUAUUCACUCCCAUGAGAACAGGAUGGUGAAAACUGCCCCCAUGAUUCAAUUGUCUCCUAGCUGGUCCCUCCCACAACACACGGGAAUUAUGGGAGCUACAAUUCAAGAUGAGAUUUGGGUGCGGACACAGCCAAACCGUAUUACGACUCCACCAAAAAACUCUUAGAUUUGAUAAAUAAAUUCAGUAGCAUUUAAGGACACAAAAUUAAUGUACA